UACGUAGGGUGCAAGCGUUGUCCGGAAUUAUUGGGCGUAAAGAGCUCGUAGGCGGUCUGUCACGUCGGAUGUGAAAAUCCAGGGCUCAACCCUGGACCUGCAUUCGAUACGGGCAGACUAGAAUUCGGUAGGGGAGACUGGAAUUCCUGGUGUAGCGGUGAAAUGCGCAGAUAUCAGGAAGAACACCCGUGGCGAAGGCGGCUCUCUGGGACGGUACUGACGCUGAGACGCGAAAGCGUGGGGAGCGAACAGG
rnacentral:rRNA from 1 species